AGAGACUGAAAGAAAAGCAGCAAAGCCCUGGGUAAUCAAGGCCCUAAACGGAAAGUGUCAGGAUCUUGGGGAUCGUAUUGUAUAAAAUGGAUGAAAACAGAGCUAUUGGGUUUGAAGCACUCCUGAACCCUCUCAUGGAACCCUAUGUCUUCCUGGAGUCUACAGAGCUAUUGGGUUUGAAGCACUCCUGAACCGUCUAGUAGAACCCUAUGUCUUCCUGGAGUCUACAGAGCUAUUGGGUUUGAAGCACUCCUGAACCGUCUAGUAGAACCCUAUGUCUUCCUGGAGUUUACAGAAAAAGAGACUCAGGGAUUUUCCCAAAGCACACUGCAAGUUAGGGGCAGGAAUGACAGCCCAGACCUUCUGGUUUCCAGUCCAGGGCUCAACUGCCUAAACAGUGGCAUCUCUUCAGGCAGGCCCUGUCAGAGGCAGAUUAGGGGACUUGUCCAAAGUUACUCAACUAUGAAGAGUCAAGAUUCAAAUCCAGAGACAUCUGACUUCAUUUCCCUUCAUUAACAACCAUCUAAGGAAGUUCCUAUUACUUUGGGAACUCCUAGUAGCAGGUGGUUAAAAAAAACUCCUGGACAACAUACUAUGCUAUUUGAAUCAUCCUACUUCUUACGCGUUCCUCCAGGAUGCACUCUUCUCCCAUUCUGAAACUGACAGUUCUCUUUACAAACUGUGUAUGUUUCAUUCCUGGAUUGCAUCUGAGCUGCCGCCAUGGAACGGGCAUUGAGUUUUAGCGUGUGUGAUGUCCCAUGUGUUCAUUUUGUCUCCCCACACUAUAAACUUGAGAGGCAAGGCCAACUCUUUUAUGUCUUCAAAUGCUUUGCUGCCAAACACAGGAUUGGAAAUGGCCAACAAAGACUAAAAUGCUACUUCUCUACCCUUUUCACUAUGCCAUCUACUGGAAAUUUAAGCAAGACUUGCAGAGAUCACUUCAGGUUAUCUGUUCCCCUGCAAGAAACACUUGUGGUUUGGCCUGAAAUAGUUUUCUGCUGAUUCUUUCUCUACAGCCCUGAACCCUAAAAACAAAUGAAAUGCAUCAACACAAUA
rnacentral:lncRNA from 1 species